UUCGAGUUCUAAUGACUAUAUUCUCUAGGGCACUAAUCCUACUACGGAACAAGAAUUUAAUUUCUCCAGCAGAGAUUCAUCAGCUCUUCUUUCAGCUUCUCAGAUGUCAGGAUAAACCUCUCCGCAGUUUUCUGAAGGAUAAUAUUAUCAACGAUAUCAAGAAUAUUAAUGCAAAGCAUAAGGAUAUAAAACUUAACUCGAAAUUAC